rnacentral:rRNA from 1 species
GCAUAUCAAUAAGCGGAGGAAAAGAAACCAACAGGGAUUGCCCCAGUAACGGCGAGUGAAGCGGCAACAGCUCAAAUUUGAAAUCUGGCUCUCUAGGGGGUCCGAGUUGUAAUUUGCAGAGGGUGCUUCGGCGUAGCAGCGGUGUAGGUUCCUUGGAACUGGGCGUCAUAGAGGGUGAGAACCCCGUCUGUCGCCGCCUUGCGAUCGCUAUGUGAAGCCCCUUCGAAGAGUCGAGUUGUUUGAGAAUGCAGCUCUAAAUGGGAGAUAAAUUUCUUCUAAAGCUAAAUACCUGCCAGAGACCGAUAGCGCACAAGUAGAGUGAUCGAAAGAUGAAAAGCACUUUGGAAAGAGAGUGAAAAAGUACGUGAAAUUGUUGAAAGGGAAGCGCUUGCAGCCAGACUUGCCUGCGGUUGAUCAGCUAAGCUUCUGCUUGGUGCACUCUUCCGUAGGCAGGCCAGCAUCAGUUCGGGCGGCUGUAGAAAAGCUUUGGGAAUGUAGCUCCUCUCGGGGAGUGUUAUAGCCCAGGGUGUAAUGCAGCCUGCCUGGACUGAGGUCCGCGCUUCGGCUAGGAUGCUGGCGUAAUGGCCGCAAGCGGCCCGUCUUGAAACACGGACCAAGGAGUCUAACAUCUAUGCGAGUGUUUGGGUGUCAAGCCCAGGCGCGUAAUGAAAGUGAACAGGUGGGAUCCCUUUUGGGUGCACCAUCGACCGAUCCUGAUGUCUUCGGAUGGAUUUGAGUAAGAGCAUAGCUGUUGGGACCCGAAAGAUGGUGAACUAUGCUUGAAUAGGGUGAAGCCAGAGGAAACUCUGGUGGAGGCUCGCAGCGGUUCUGACGUGCAAAUCGAUCGUCAAAUUUGGGCAUAGGGGCGAAAGACUAAUCGAACUAUCU